rnacentral:rRNA from 1 species
AUUGAACGCUGGCGGCAGGCCUAACACAUGCAAGUCGAGCGGAGCGGGGGACGGGGGAGUAAUGCCUAGGAAUCUGCCUGGUAGUGAGGGAUAACGUCCGGAAACGGGCGCUAAUACCGCAUACUAUCAGAUGAGGCUAAGCCGGAGUAGCUAGUUGGUGGGGUAAAGGCCUACCAAGGCGACGAUCCGUAACUGGUCUGAGAGGAUGAUCAGUCACACUGGAACUGAGACACGGUCCAGACGCCUACGGGAGGCAGCAGUGGGGAAUAUUGCACAAUGGGCGCAAGCCUGAUGCAGCCAUGCCGCGUGUAUGAAGAAGGCCUUCGGGUUGUAAAGUACUUUCAGCGGGGAGGCGUUACCCUCAGAAGAAGCACCGGCUAACUCCGUGCCAGCAGCCGCGGUAAUUC